UUUCCACCGUUUGUUGAUAAAACAAAUAAAAUGAAGGGAAAGAAAUAUACAGAAUUGAAAACUAUUUAAUAAAUCGCAGGAAAAUAAUGGUACCAGUGAACUUGUGGCGCAGAUGAGCCAUUUUCGUCGUUAUAUUAUCCAUCUCUGAAUCAACUGUAUAAUUCGGAACCAGUUAUCGUCGAACCAUCUGCGAAGGUUAAUUUGUCAUGGGAAACAAAUUUGUCAGGGGAGACAAACCGGAGAAGCAAGAAAAGAAUGACAUAAUAUUACUUAAAAUUGUUCCUCCAGUGGACCAGACAUAUGUUAAAUGGCUUGCCAAAGACCUUGCAAGAAUUCACAGCUUUACUCCCAAACGUGCUCGCCCAGUGCAGCCGCCAGAUCAUUAUGUAGAAUAUAUGAAGUUAAAUGGAUGGUUGGAUGUGGAUUUGGAUGAUCCUGAUCUUGCCCAUUUGUUCAAGUAGACGAAUUCUGUAUAACAUAUAGACAAUUAGCGUGACUUUAUAGCUGCAUUAAGAUAAUAUUAAAUUGUUCAGUUAGCAAGAAAAAUGGUAGACAUGUUGUUUUUGUUAUUGUAGAUGGUUGUAUUCCGAAACACUAGUGUUGAUCACAACUGAAACAUGCUAUAUUUUAUACAAUAGAAUUUUUUGUUCGAUCAUGUUCUAUUGUUCUUAAUAUCAUGUGUGCUGGCAAUGUGAUUUGUCACAUUAGGAAGUUUAUCAACAUUUGUAAUAGCCAUGUAAUGAUAUGAACAUUCUCUUC